rnacentral:lncRNA from 1 species
UCCCAAAGACUCUUGCUCAUUUUUCCCAAACACUCUUGCUCUCUCUCCAACCCACAAAAUUUGUCUCUCUGUCUCUAACCCCCGAUCUAGAUCCGGCCAACGACGGCGACACAAACCGGUGGAGAGCAAAUUCCUUCAACUCGCCGGUGAAGUUCUUCAGACUUUGAAUCGCUGGUGAAGAUCUAUUUCUUUCAGAUCAUGGGUGAAGUCCUUCAAAUCAAAAAGCGUUUUAGAAGAAUUUAAAGUGAAAUUUUCAUGAGAAAGCAUUAAUUUAGAGGAUUAGAUUGCUGGAUUUGUUUGCACGAGGAAGAAACACACGGUCAUGAUUUGAAGGAAAUUUAGUCCGUGAUUUUUUGAAGGAAAUUCAGUUUUACCUUCAUUUAAAAAUUCAACACAGUGAUGAUUUGCACUUGCAUAGGUUUCUUCCAUCAAUUGGGGUAGUUAAAUUCCACACGGACAUUAUUCUGUUUUUUCCAUUAGGCUUUUUUUUUUUCCCUUUCCUUUUAACAUUGGCCUUGUUCAAUUGAACUCUGCACUUAGUAAUUUUUUACACAGCCAAUAUUGAUUUCGCUCACAUGGUUGUACUACAUUUGUUCGAUGGUGGCAGGAAGGAAUAAAUAUAGCCGAGGAACAUGACUAUUGGUAGAUUUCCCUCGACAUAACUCUACGUAAGGAUUAAAGAGACUCGAAAGACUACGAGAAUGGAAAGAAAGGCGUCAAUAAAAUGUAGCAUUGAACUUCGAUGUAAUUGGACAGUGAUAACUGUAUCUUUUUGUAUUUGGAUCUUCUAUAGUUUUACAUCGGUUGCACAAUCUUCUGCAUCAAUCGCCAUUUAUGAAUCUAUCCUAUUUCCUCUCUUUUUUUGUUCUCUGUGUACUUCAUCUUUUACAAGAGAACUAUGAGUUCCCAUGUUGCCAUUUUCGUAAACAACACUUAUAUCUGCACCACAUGGAAGCACAUCUCAAAACAUUCAUAAAGUUGGCAAAUCAGAUUCCUAAACUUAAACUGAAUGACAUACUAAAAUUACUUAGCCAACAUCCAUAAAUUCUGCAAACUGAAAUAGUAUAUGCAAAAUACUUUCCCAAAAAUUCUAACCACAUUCAUAACAUGGCAUUCACUAAACACAUGAGAGCUUAACCGAUGCAAAAUACUUGUACAAGUUUAGCAGCUUAAAAUUUUUUCAGUCCAACUAAAGUGAAAAACGUGAUAUAUUCAGCUGCCUCAUGAAAUCGAUUUUGCUUCCAAAAAUCAGAAACUCAGCUAUCUCAACCUUCACUCGUGCAACGCAAAAAUAGGUCCGCACAUGCUCUCCUAUGUUUUGAAAUCAUGGGAAGAAGAAUUCUUCAUCGUUUCAAUGUCCUACGCAUGUAACGAAUAAGAUUGACAAAAAAUUUUAUGAUGGGAACAUAUCGUAUGUAUAAUAGUAUGCAUUCGAGUACCUCAACAUUGAACGGGGAUGAAACAUUACUUUUUAGCUUUUUGCACAUGUUCAAAUUAUUUGAGCUCGUGGGCACCUGUACGAAGAUUCAAACAUAAUAGAUGAGUUUAAAAAAGACAAAAUUGUAGUUGAACAUAUCUUCAAAAUAUUUCAUACCUUAUGCUUAGUUUUUCUCGAAGUAGCUUCAAAAUGACCUUUUCGACGAAGUUUUUUAGGUGCUCUUUUCGUUCUCGAGGAUUUUGGGUCUAAGAUGUCUCCAACUGCAAUAUUUCCCGCUUCAAAGUAUUGGGAGCCUACUUGAUUAGACUUCGACGUCGCCAUAACUGUUCGGGACUCAAUCCACUCAGAAAUGUCCUUACAUUGUUCCUCAUUAUGGGCUACCAAGUCAACUAAUUUGGUAAAUGCAAAACACAAUUUCUCGUAUCUGACUUGAUCAGGAGUACUAAUCCAACCAUCAUAAUUUAUUGGAACUCUCGUGUAUGAUCUGACCACAUCUCUCCUCCAUCUCUUCAAUAUAUACUUCUCAGGUAAUAAUUUUACAUCAUUAUGUAUCAAAACUGUGAUUGCAUGCUUGCAAAUAAUUCCUCUAAAUUCAUAUAAGUGAAAACUGUACUCAAAAUCACAUUCAUCCCUGUGAAAGGACACUUGAAAUAUUUUUUUUCGUUGUACAGUCAUUUAAAAUGAUGUCCUCACGUACUUCAUAAAUAGUUUGGAAGCAUAACUCAUGUUUAGAUACAACUUCACAGUAAACAUUACCGGUAAAUUGUUCUUGGAACUCUCUGAACUUCGUCAUUGUAUACACUGAUUGGAAUUGCUUCUCCAAUUCGUACCUUGUCGCACAUGGGACCAUUUGUGAAAAUGAUUAGAAAUCGGCGUGAAAUUCCUUCUCAACUUUACUUCUCAAUGCACGCUCAUAUUGCUCCACGAAUUGCUUUUGGGAUGUUUUGGAAUGAACGUAUCCGUCAAAAAAUGCAUUCAUGCUCUCACUUCGUUGAGUGGUUGACAUACUGGCCCAAAAUGAAGUUUUCAAAAAGCAUGGUACCCAUCGACUUCUCUCCUUGUAUAGUCCAGUCAACCAACUAUGUUCAAGCAAUUCAUAAUCUUCAAGCAUCUUACUCCAACCUUCCUCAAAUUCCUCACAAGUCUGCAUAUCAUACACCAACCUAUGUACAGUCGAAAGAAUAGAACCUUUAUGUUUCUGCUUGCCGAAUUUUUCUGGUAACUUCUUCAGUAUAUGCCAUAAACACCAUCUAUGUUUUGUUUUAGGAAAAACGAUUUCAAUUGCAUUUUGCAUAGCCCGAUCUUGAUCUAGUAUUAUUCCAAUUGGAGCUUCUCCAUGCAUACAUUCAAGCCAUUUCCUAAAUAGCCAUACAAAAGUUCUUGUAUCCUCAUUUGAAACCAAGCCACACCCAAGUAGAGUUGAUUGUCCAUGAUGAUUAACCCCAACGAAAGGAGCGAAAGGCAUAUCAUACUUGUUAGUCAAGUAUGUUGUGUCAAACGUAACAACAUCACCGAAUUCCUUAUACGCUUGUCUACACCUAUUGUCUGCCCAAAACACGUUUCUUAGUCGAGCCUCUUCAUCUAAAUCUAUGCUAAAAUAGAAACCAAGACUACUUAUUUGCAUCUUCAAAAAAUAUGCUUGUAUUGCAACGGCGUCUCCUUCACCAAGUCUUAAUCUUCUCACUUUGUUAAUGAAAUUUCUACAAUCUUUCUCAAUACAUGCAAUGUUUUCAUAGCCACCAGCUUCAACUAUGACUGAAUUAAAACUCUUAUGCAACGGAAUACCAGCAAUGUCAUUCAUUUCAAGAUGUCUUUUCACACGUGCACUAAUUUGGCGAUUGCAUCUAUAUAACCUUGAUUUGGAUGGGCUUGUGCUAUGAUUGUGCUCAAGAUGGAUCGUGUUAAUACGCCAUGUUCCACAAACGUCUAAACAUGCUGUCAACCUGGCUUUACAACCAAUUUUGAUGGUUGGUUGAGGCUUCAAAUAAGAACUUGAACUGCUGGUUUGACGACCUUCUCGACUACACGUAAAAGUUACAUAACGUACGAUCCCAUCAUCACCUUUCUUUGAAUUUCUUUUUCUCACAGGAAAACCAAGUUGGUAAGCAUAUUUCUUGUAAAAUUCAAACACCUCUUUUUCAUCUUUAAACUUCAUUCCAACACUUGGAACAAUAAUGUCACUCUCUUCUCUUUUCUCAUUCGCAUUGCCAUCAUCAGAUGAUACAAUAUCCAAAUAUCCUACAAAAUGAAAAACAUACCACAAUCAAUUCUCAUUUUGGCAGAAAGAUGAGACCAGAUUUCUCCAUAACACAAAUAAUUUUUGCCCAAUUUAUUCAUUUGAACAAGAUGAAAAUAAGAAUAAAUUUUCAAGACCAGAGGCACAAUGAAGACAUUACUGGGCAUCUAGUACUCUUCCAAAUGGUUUUCUAAUGGCUUCCUUGGUAAAUUUGUUUCAAAUUCCAACAAUGCAUAGUUUUUAGUUUUUUACUUCGAAAAUACACUCCUAAAGCACUCAUUCAUAUAAAUAUUCAAACAAAUUGAACAAUCUAAUUGAAAAUUAGAAAGAAUAAAUGUUACCUAUGCUUACGUUGGAUUUGAAGUCGACCCCGUCGGAGCUUCCUACUUUGAUUUUAUUUUCAUAUUCGUAAUGACCGGGGUUGCUUUCCACAGUAAAUGAUUGGUGUAUUAAUGUCGGGCUCCCACCCAGGUCGAUGUCGAUAUCAAAGUUUUCGAUGUCAAUGUUGUCGACGACGUCGAAUGACUUUUUUUGUCCUUCCAUUUUGUUCAUCUCCAGGUUUGAAUUGGGUUUAGAAAUGUCUCCAGGUUUGAAUUGGGUUUGGAAAUUCAGGGAAAAUGAUGGGUUAAAAAACAAAUUGGCCACCUUUUCCUUUUCCAUUUUUUAGGCGAGAUUUUGACAAAUCUUGACAUGAAAAUCUCGCCAUGUUAGCCUCUGUAACCCUUUAGGUAAUGCAUGAUGUUUGUGUAGCAAGACUCAAGAAAAAAAGGGNUCGUUUUGACUAAAUUGAUUUGUUUAGUACUCACACUACCUGUUUCAACGGCGACUGUGGAGCGAGCAUUUUCAGCAAUGAAACAUGUGAAGACGGAAAUUCGUAACAAAAUGGAUAAUGGCUUUCUUGGUGAUUGUUUAACACUAAAUAUUGAGCGAGAAUUUAGUAUGAAUUUAGAUCUAGAUUCUAUUGUAGAUGAAUUUUAUGCUUUAAAACAUCGUCGGGUACAACUACGAUAGGUAACUUAUAUUAUGAAUUUUUCUUAUUUUAUAUAAAUUUUAUUUGUAGUUCGUACAUUAAAUUUUAAAAAAAAUUUGCCCCCUGUACCAUGAAUUCCUGGCUCCGCCCCUGCUUGCAUCGGUUUCUUCCAUCAAUUGGGGUAGUUAAAUUCCACACGGACAUUAUUCUGUUUUUCCAUUAGGCUUUUUUUUCCUUUCCUUUUAACAUUGGCCUUGUUCAAUUGAACUCUGCACUUAGUAAUUUUUUACACAGCCAAUAUUGAUUUCGCUCACGUGGUUGUACUAUAUUUGUUCGAUGGUGGCAGGAAAGAAUAAAUAUAGCCGAGGAACAUGACUAUUCGUAGAUUUCCCUCGACAUAACUCUACGUAAGGAUUAAAGAGAUUCGAAAGACUAUGAGAAUGGAAAGAAAGGCGUCAAUAAAAUGUAGCAUUGAACUUCGAUGUAAUUGGACAGUGAUAAUUGUAUCUCUUUGUAUUUGGAUCUUGUAUAGUUUUACAUCGGUUGCACAAUCUACUGCAUCAAUCGUC